rnacentral:rRNA from 1 species
UACAGAGGUGGCAAGCGUUGUUCGGAUUUAUUGGGCGUAAAGGGUCCGUAGGCGGCUUAGAAAGUCGGAUGUGAAAUCCCACAGCUUAACUGUGGAACUGCAUUCGAAACUUCUAAGCUCGAGUGUGAGAGGGGUAAGGGGAAUUCCCGGUGUAAGAGUGAAAUCUGUAGAGAUCGGGAGGAACACCAGUCGCGAAGGCGCCUUACUGGCUCACCACUGACGCUGAGGGACGAAAGCCAGGGGAGCAAACGGG